UCAGAGAAGCCCAGGACAGCCACGAAGCUGUGGGUCCUCGCGCCUAACAACCACGGUUAAGGAUUCUGAUACGUUACCAAACCGCCACCCAGAAAGGAAUUGCAAUGUGGACUUCUACAAGAAAUCAGAAACAGUAAAGGUGGCUAGGCGCCUAGGCACUUAUGGAUUCUCUUCUUUUCAGAACAGCCUUGCUGCCUGCAGGGGUGACUGAGGCCCUGAAGUCCAGAGCUUUGCUGAGUCGUCACUUGGGAGAGUAAAUCUCCAAUGGUCUGCCCGUGCAGUGAGCAUUGUAACCUGUAUCACUGUAAAUCUUAUUUGCACACAUUUUAUAAAUAGGUGAGGUCAUAAAACCUGAUCUUUCACACAAUCACACUAAAUCUGUGUCAAAUAGAGUAGGAUCGCUCUCUCUCUUUCAUGUUUUUGUUAAAUAUAUUUGUGUAUUAUACACAUUAGGAGGGAAAAAACCCAAACCUUUUAAAAGUUUAAAAGAGGGGCUGGAGGGAUGGCUCAGCGAUUAAGAGCACUGACUGCUCUUUCAAAGGUCCUGAGUUCAAUUCCCAGCAACCACAUGGUGGCUCACAACCAUCUGCAAUGUGAUCUGAUGCUCUCUUCUGAUUUGUCUAAAGACAACUACAGUGUACUCAUAGACAUCAAAUAAAUAAAUAAAUAAAUAAAUAAAUAAAUCUUUUUUUUUAAAGUUAAAAAAGAAAGCACAAAAAUUUAUUGGAGCACUCACUGAUGGGAGGUUUAUGACAAUAGAUCUUGCAUAUGGCCUUUGUUCUGCAUAUCAUUCUCAUAUGGUUUAUAUUUCCAGCCCAAACAAGUACAGUUAACAAAAGUUAAAGCCAGCCAGGAAGUGGUGGCCCACGCCUUUAAUCCCAGCACUCAGGAGGCAGAGGCAGACAGAUCUCUUUGGGCCAGUUUGGUCUACAAAGAUUGUUCUAGGACAGCCAGGGCUGCACAGAGAAACUCUGUCUCAAAACAAACAAACAAAGAA
rnacentral:lncRNA from 1 species